AUUGAACGCUGGCGGCAGGCCUAACACAUGCAAGUCGAGCGGAUGAAGGGUGCUUGCUCCUGGUUUCAGCGGCGGACGGGUGGGUAAUGCCUAGGAAUCUGCCUGGUAGUGGUGGAUAACGUCCGGAAACGGGCGCUCAUACCGCAUACGUCCUGAGGGAGAAAGUGGGGGAUCUUCGGACCUCACGCUAUCAGAUGAGCCUAGGUCGGAUUAGCUAGUUGGUGGGGUAAAGGCCUACCAAGGCGACGAUCCGUAACUGGUCUGAGAGGAUGAUCAGUCACACGGAAACUGGGAAAGGGUCCGGACUCCUACGGAGGGCAGAGGUGGGAAAUAUUGGAAAAGGGGGGAAGGCCUAAUCCGGCCAUGCGGGGGGGGUGAAGAAGGUCUUGGGAUGGUAAAGCAUUUUAUGUGGGAAGAAAAGCCAGUAAGUUAAUACCUGGCUGUUUGAAGGUAACCAACAGAAUAGGCACGGCUAAACUUCUG
rnacentral:rRNA from 1 species